GUCCUGAAAAGCAGUGAGCAGGCGCCAAGAACUCCAAUAUUCACUGAGGAGAUUCUAGGCGGUGAGAAUGUAGAGGGAGAAGUUGAACCGCCACCAGAGAGAUCAUUUUGGGCAAAAUAUUGGAUGUAUUUGAUACCGCUGGGACUCGUAGUGAUGAACGCUGUGACACAAGCAUCAAACAUGGCUGAAGAACCAACGGGUGGACAAGCAGGAGGAGCACAAGUGCAACAAGCUGCCAUGAGAAGAUGAUUCCACUUAAACUUCUCCCAAAGCAAUCAAAGGUAGACCACGGCGCAAUUACUAAACAAAUUUCUUUUUUUACAUAGCAGUCUUUAAAUCUUAUGAUCCCAGGAGGAUACAUUUAUAUAUUUGUUGGGCUAUCUUCCCAGCUGUGGAUUUAUAUUAUUUGGUUGUAACUUAUAAGUCACACGGAAUUAACUGAAUUCGGAAUUUAUG